rnacentral:rRNA from 1 species
AUUGAACGCUGGCGGCAGGCCUAACACAUGCAAGUCGAGCGGAGCGGCGGACGGGCGGGUAAGGCAUAGGAAUCUGCCUGGCAGUUGGGGAUAACGUCCGGAAGGGGGCGCUAAUCUCGCAUCCUACUAGAUGAGCCUAGGUCGGUUUAGCUAGUUGGAGGGGUAAAGGCCUACCAAGGCGACGAUCCGUAACUGGGCUGAGAGGAGGAUCGGCCAAACUGGAACUGGGACCGGGUCCAGACUCCUACGGGAGGCAGCAGUGGGGAAUAUUGGACAAUGGGCGAAAGCCUGACGCAGCCAUGCCGCGUGUGUGAAGAAGGUCUUCGGAUUGUAAAGCACUUUAAUUUGGGAGGCGUUACCAACAGAAUAAGCACCGGCUAACUACGUGCCAGCAGCCGCGGUAAUAC